rnacentral:tRNA from 1 species
GGAGAGGUGCCGGAGUGGUCGAACGGGCCGGUUUCGAAAACCGGUGUGCCCUAGCGGGUACCGUGGGUUCGAAUCCCACCCUCUCCGCCA